rnacentral:rRNA from 1 species
AUGGUCCUCGCCGGUGGCGAGCUCGACAUCAGUCACAAACCUAGUGUGCAUCGUCAUUGGUGUUCUUUUCAGGUUUACUUUAGGAAGUCUUCGAGUUUGGCUUGGGGUGGUGAGACGGCGAAGCUGUUUCUGCCCUGCCGGACCGGCAUCCCAGCUACCUGCUCUCUGAUCAAGGUGUCGUCGCUGCCGCGUAGGCAGCCUCCGCUUCCGCCUCCGCCGUGUCCUCAUUGUCCGCCCCUAUCAACUCAUCAUUCUGCCGCUGCAACAUCUGGUAGCGGGCGGAUUGCACGAUCAUUCUUGCGUCGGCAUCCAAAGUGGCCACAUUCAAGGACAACAUCUUGGCGUCCUCCGCAUUGGCGGCGAUCUGGAACUUCUUUUCCUCAAGCGUGA